rnacentral:rRNA from 1 species
GACGUCGGGCGCGAGCGUUGUCCGGAUUUAUUGGGCGUAAAGAGCUCGUAGGCGGCUUGUUGCGUCGGCUGUGAAAACCCAUGGCUCAACCGUGGGCUUGCAGCCGAUACGGGCAGGCUAGAGUUCGGUAGGGGAGACUGGAAUUCCUGGUGUAGCGGUGAAAUGCGCAGAUAUCAGGAGGAACACCGGUGGCGAAGGCGGGUCUCUGGGCCGAUACUGACGCUGAGGAGCGAAAGCGUGGGGAGCGAACAGG